rnacentral:rRNA from 1 species
CACAAGCGGUGGAUGAUGUGGAUUAACUCGAUGCAACGCGAAAACCUUACCUACCCUUGACAUGUCCGGAAUCCCGAAGAGAUUUGGGAGUGCUCGCAAGAGAACCGGAACACAGGUGCUGCAUGGCUGUCGUCAGCUCGUGUCGUGAGAUGUUGGUUAAGUCCCGCAACGAGCGCAACCCUUGUCAUUAGUUGCCAUCAUUUGGUUGGGCACUCUAAUGAGACUGCCGGUGACAAACCGGAGGAAGGUGGGGAUGACGUCAAGUCCUCAUGGCCCUUAUGGGUAGGGCUUCACACGUCAUACAAUGGUCGGUACAGAGGGUUGCCAACCCGCGAGGGGGAGCUAAUCCCACAAAGCCGAUCGUAGUCCGGAUCGCAGUCUGCAACUCGACUGCGUGAAGUCGGAAUCGCUAGUAAUCGUGGAUCAGCAUGUCACGGUGAAUACGUUCCCGGGUCUU